CACAGAGACCUCUCCUAGCAUCAUACAGAGACCAUGACAGAAAACCACAACUGAUCAAAUGCGGAGUUCUGGAGCCCAGUCUCAACUGAUACAUCUACAACCUAACUCAGUACUGAGAUUCCAAUCAGACCAAAAGAUCCUCCCAGGAGCUCACUGUUCACGGCCAGACUCAGCUUCUUUUCAGAUUAAUCUCCAGUUUCCUUACAUGACGGAGAAGAAAGGUGAACGGAUACAGAAGCAGAGGUGCCAGCAUUUGAGCUUGACUGCACUGAGCUGCUAGAGGGAGUACCGACCAGCGGGGAGAGAUCAUCAAUGACAGUUGAAGCUGAAAGGU